rnacentral:misc_RNA from 1 species
UCCAGCUUAACGCCGGCAGUCUCCGGUGAAAUAUCUAACACCGGAUGAGGGUUUCGCUCGUUGACGGACUUAACCGAACAUCUCACGACACGAGCUGACGACGACCGUGCAACACCUGUCAUCGGGUUCCUUGCGGCACUCCCCUGUUUCCAGGGGAUUCCCGAGAUGUCAAGCCUGGGUGAGGUGCCCCGCUUGUCGUCGAAUUAAACCACAUGCUCCACCGCUUGUGCGAGCCCCCGUCAAUUCCUUUGAGUUUUAGCCUUGCGGCCGUACUUCCCAGGCGGCACACUUAACGCGUUAGCUUCGGCACAAGGAGGGUCGAUACUCCCAAUGCCUAGUGUGCAUCGUUUACGGCGUGGACUAC